CUGGGAAGUGACGUCAUUGGUUAGUUGCUAGUCUUCUGAGUUUCUGAUAGUGUUCCUCUAGAUGGCGCUUGAAAAUUUCAAAUAGAUUAUAUGGAGGGCUCUAGAAACCUAACCUGACCUCCUUACCAUUUUGGUAUCACAUUCUACCAUAUCGGUUGGGAGUAGAAUCAUAUUAUAGCGCUACUAGUGGUAAAAUUUAAGAUUAAAGAACGCUUUUCGCGCGUAAAUCUAAAUCGCAAGCGAAAGCCAAUGGAGUCAGUAGUGAGGGCUCCAAAAAAUGGAAAAUUUUCAGGCUCCAGGCGUCUUUGCACGCGGCUCGAGGAGAAGCCGGUGCCGGGUACGACUCUCAGUCUUAUAGCGACCGCCGAGGGAUGCAGAUGUAUGAAUGUACCUGUCAAACUUACCUAUAUCCUUAUCUUAUUUUGUGUAUUUAUUUAAUUUGAUGUAUUUAUCUUCUUAGCUUAUUGAAUAAACUUAUUAAAGGGA